rnacentral:rRNA from 1 species
UACGUAGGGGGCGAGCGUUGUCCGGGAGUUACUGGGCGUAAGCGCACGCAGGCGGUCUGCUAAGUUUGGAGUGACAGUUGGUGGCUUAACUGCCAAAGUGCUUCGAAAACUGACAGACUUGAGGGCUUCAGAGGGACACGGAAUUCCGGGGUGGAGUGGUGAAAUGCGUAGAGAUCCGGAGGAACACCAAAGGCGAAGGCAGUGUCCUGGGGAGUACCUGACGCUCAGGUGCGAAAGCCAGGGGAGCGAACGGGAUUAGAGUAC